GACGAACGCUGGCGGCGUGCUUAACACAUGCAAGUCGAACGGAAAGGCCCUGCUUUUGUGGGGUGCUCGAGUGGCGAACGGGUGAGUAACACGUGAGUAACCUGCCCUUGACUUUGGGAUAACUUCAGGAAACUGGGGCUAAUACCGGAUAGGAGCUCCUGCUGCAUGGUGGGGGUUGGAAAGUUUCGGCGGUUGGGGAUGGACUCGCGGCUUAUCAGCUUGUUGGUGGGGUAGUGGCUUACCAAGGCUUUGACGGGUAGCCGGCCUGAGAGGGUGACCGGCCACAGUGGGACUGAGAUGCGGCCCAGACUCCUACGGGAGGCAGCAGUGGGGAAUAUUGCACAAUGGGCGGAAGCCUGAUGCAGCAACGCCGCGUGCGGGAUGACGGCCUUCGGGUUGUAAACCGCUUUCGCCUGUGACGAAGCGUGAGUGACGGUAAUGGGUAAAGAAGCACCGGCUAACUACGUG
rnacentral:rRNA from 1 species